UGGGCGUAUACGUGCAAGUCACAGGGGAUGCGAUGGCUUGGCUUGGGCUCAGAGGCCUGACAGGCUGGGCGUGGUGGCUCACACCUGUAAUCCCAGCACUUUGGGAGGCCAAGGCAGGUGGAUCACGAGGUCAAGAGAUCGAGAUCAUCAUGGCCAACAUGGUGAAACCCCAUCUCUACUAAAAAUACAAAAAUUAGCUGGGCAUGGUGGCACACUCCUGUAGUCCCGGCUACUCGGGAGGCUGAGGCAGAAGAAUCGCUUGAAGCCAGGAGGCGGAGGUUGCGGUGAGUCGAGAUUGUGCCACUGCACUCCAGCCUGGCGACAGACCAAGAAUCCAUCUCAAAGAAAAGAAACAAACCCACAAACUGUUUACUUUCUCAUCAGCAGCCCCCUACUUACCUCUUCAACAACAUUGAAUAUCAUUCAUCUCCUUGUCAUGACACUUUGGCCACACUGGUUUUCUUUUUGGUUCCUGAAUUGCUAUGCUCUUUUCUACCUGUGGACCUUUGCAUAGAAUGAUAUCGUUGCAAGAAAUGUUUUUUCUCUAGAGCUGUGUCAGCUGGUUUUCUUUUUUAACUUUUAAUUUUCAUGGGUAUAUAGUAAGUGUAUAUACUUAUGGGGUACAUGAAAUAUUUUGAUAAAUGCAUGCAAUGCAUAAUAAUUACAUGGGAAAAUGGGGUAUCCAUCACUUGAACAUUUAUCCUUUGUGUUACAACCUAUUAUACUCUUUUCGUUAUUUUAAAAUGUAUAAUUAAACUAUUAUUGACUAUA